UAGCAGUCUUUGUUAAUGGUUUUCAAGGC
rnacentral:piRNA from 1 species